CAGUAGCCGCGGGAAUACGGAGGGUGCAAGCGUUAAUCGGAAUUACUGGGCGUAAAGCGCACGCAGGCGGUCUGACAAGUCAGAUGUGAAAUCCCCGGGCUUAACCUGGGAACUGCAUUUGAAACUGUCAGGCUGGAGUCUUGUAGAGGGGGGUGGAAUUCCAGGUGUAGCGGUGAAAUGCGUAGAGAUCUGGAGGAAUACCGGUGGCGAAGGCGGCCCCUGGACAAAGACUGACGCUCAGGUGCGAAAGCGUGGGGAGCAAACAGGAUUAGAUACCCGGGUAGUCCCUGUCUCUUAUACA
rnacentral:rRNA from 1 species